rnacentral:tRNA from 1 species
GGUCCUGUAGCUCAGUGGUUAGGGCGAUGGUCGUAUGAGCCAUAGGCCGUGGGUUCGGCCCCCGCCGGGACUA